rnacentral:rRNA from 1 species
AUGAACGCUGGCGGCGUGCCUAAUACCUGCAAGUAGAACGCUGAAGGAGGAGCUUGCUCUUCUGUUUGAGUUGCGAACGGUUGAUUAACGCGUAGGUAACCUGCCUGGUAGCGGGGGAUCACUAUUUGAAACGAUAGCUAAUACCGCAUGACAACAGUUAUUGCAUGAUAACUGUUUAAAAGGGGCAACUGCUCCACUACCAGAUGGACCUGCGUUGUAUUAGCUAGUUGGUGAGGUAACGGCUCACCAAGGCGACGAUACAUAGACGACCUGUGAGGGUGAUAGGCCAAACUGGGACUGAGACACGGCCCAGACUCCUACGGGAGGCAGCAGGAGGGAAGCAUAGGCAAAGGACGGAAGGCUGAACGAGGAACGCCGCGUGAGGGAAGAAGGGUUUCGGAUUGUAAAGCUCGGUUGUAAGAGAAGAAAGAGUGGGAGAGUGGAAAGUUCACACUGUGACGGUAUCUUAACAGAAAGGGACGGCUAACUACGUG